AUUGAACGCUGGCGGCAUGCCUAACACAUGCAAGUCGAACGGCAGCACGGGGGCAACCCUGGUGGCGAGUGGCGGACGGGUGAGGAAUGCAUAGGAAUCUGCCCAGUUGUGGGGGAUAACGUAGGGAAACUUACGCUAAUACCGCAUACGACCUACGGGUGAAAGAGGGGGACCUUCGGGCCUCUCGCGAUUGGAUGAGCCUAUGCCGGAUUAGCUAGUUGGCGGGGUAAGAGCCCACCAAGGCGACGAUCCGUAGCUGGUCUGAGAGGAUGAUCAGCCACACUGGAACUGAGACACGGUCCAGACUCCUACGGGAGGCAGCAGUGGGGAAUAUUGGACAAUGGGCGCAAGCCUGAUCCAGCAAUGCCGCGUGUGUGAAGAAGGCCUUCGGGUUGUAAGACUUUGUUGGAGAAUCGGUGUAAUACCUGAUCGGAUGAGUACCAAAGAAUAAGCACGCUAACUCGUGCCAGCAGCCGCGGU
rnacentral:rRNA from 1 species